AUGGCGAUCGCGCAGACCAUCCUCACGGAGGGCCUCGCCGACGAGAUCGCGCUCGUGGACGCAGAGGCCGACAGGGUCCGCGGCGAGAUGCUGGACCUGCAGCACGCCGCGGCAUUCCUCCCACGCGUCCGCAUCGUCGCAGGCACCGACGUGCUCGCGCUCACCAGGAGCUCCGACCUGGCCAUCAUCACGGUGCCCAGGGAGACGGCGGCGGCGUCGCGGAUGGACCAGCUGAGGAGGAACGUGGCGCUGCUGAGGGAGGUCAUGCCGACGGUGGCGGAGGGGUCGCCCGAGUCGCUACUGCUGGUGGUGUCGAACCCGGUGGACGUGCUGGCGUAUGCGGCAUGGAAGCUGUCGGGGUUCCCGUCGAGCCGCGUGAUCGGCUCCGGCACGGACCUCGACUCCGCCAGGCUGCGGUGCCUCCUGGCCGAGCACCUCGACGUGGGCGCGCAGGACAUGCAGGCGUACAUGGUCAGCGAGCAUGGAGACGGCGCGCUGGCGCUGUGGUGGAGCAUCCGCGUCGGCGGCAUGCCGGUGCUGAGCUACCUCCAGAAGACCCACUCGUUGUUCGAUGCGGUGGGCUGCGCGGGCGAGGUGAUCGGCCUCAAGGGGUACACGUCCUGGGCCAUCGGCUACUCGGCGGCCAGCCUGGCCCGGUCGCUCCUCCGCGACCAGCGGCGCGUCCACCCGGUGUCGGUGCUCGCCAAGGGGUUCGUCCCCGGCGACACCCACGAGGUCUUCCUUAGCCUCCCGGCCAGGCUCGGGCGCCGCGGCGUGCUCGGGAUUGUUGGCAAUAUGAGCAAAUUACUACGAGAUUUAAUCCAAAUAAACAGAAGAUAA
rnacentral:rRNA from 1 species